GUCCAAAGAUGGGAAUCGAACCCAACAGUGUUCCGCUUACCGGGCAGAUGCCAUGUCCACUAGGCUACCCUGGA